ACUACAGAAGAAAUCUAACCAUUGAAAACAGAUCAUCGUAUUUCACGAUGUUAGAGAUUCUGAUGGUGCAUGGAAAUACAAAAAAAUAUAGUUUGAUACUCUGUACUGAUGCGCUGUGUCUGAUUUCGGAAAUUCAGAGAAGAAAAAAGUCUGCACUGCAUAACACGGUCAUCCUUUGAAACGGGGGUCUUUUCAAGCUAUCAUGCUGCUGGCUCAGAUAAACCAGGCAGCUGAUUUCCAGCAUGAGGAAGAUGCUCAAGAGGUCACUUUCUGCUUUACAGAAACUGUGGGGAUUUCAGAUGGCAAUCAGAGUGUGGACACUGUCAGUUUACAGGCCGUGACUUUAGCAGAUGGCUCCACUGCAUAUAUACCUCACAACCCCCAAGACAGCAGUGUAGUUGAAGGACAGGUAAUCCAGUUGGAAGAUGGGUCAUCUGCUUAUGUUCAACACAUUGCUGUUCCUAAAGCAGAUGAGCCAAAUAACUGGGCGGGCUCUGCUGUAAGUGAUGCCAUUGGUAAUGAGAGUUUAAGUCUGGAGGAUGGUCAGACUGUUCAGCUGGAGGAUGGAACUACUGCUUACAUCCACCACACUGCACAAGAGACUUAUGAACCCAGUACUCUGCAGGCGGUGCAGUUGGAAGACGGUUCAACUGCUUACAUUCAUCACGCUGUUCAGAUGUCACAGCCCAACACCAUCCUGGCCAUCCAGACAGAUGACACAGAUCUGGAGACAGAUGCAGACAUUGACCAAGAAACAAUCAAAGCUUUGGAGCAAUACACGACCAAGAUUGAGGAGAUUGACUACACAAACGCGAUCACAAAUGAUCCUCAUAGUUUUGUGGAAAUGCAGAUUGUUCUUCAUGGUCAAAAAAUGCCCCGUAAUACGCAGCAGAUGGUGGAGAAAUGUUUUCGGUGUAACUAUGAUGGAUGCGGAAAGUUUUACACCACAGCAAAUCAUCUUAAGGUACAUGAAAGAGCACAUACAGGUGACAAGCCAUACUUGUGUGACUUACCUGGGUGUGGAAAAAAGUUUGCAACAGGUUAUGGUUUGAAAAGUCACAUCAGGACACACACUGGAGAAAAACCUUACCGCUGUCUGGAGAUGAAUUGUAAAAAAUCUUUCAAGACCUCAGGGGACCUUCAGAAGCACAUGAGAAUUCACACGGGAGAGAAGCCAUUUCUGUGCCCUACCCCUGGCUGUGGGCGAUCCUUCACUACCUCAAAUAUCUGUAAGGUGCAUGUUCGCACACACACAGGCGAGAAGCCGUAUCAUUGUACAGAGCCGGGCUGUGAUCGGUCCUUUGCCAGUGCAACUAAUUACAAGAACCACAUUCGGAUCCACACAGGAGAGAGACCGUAUGUAUGCACCGUCCCUGGUUGUGACAAGCGAUUCACAGAGUACUCGAGUCUGUAUAAACAUAAUGUAGUGCACACUCCCUGUAAACCCUACAAGUGCAACCACUGUGGGAAGUCCUACAAGCAGAUCUCCACACUGGUCAUGCACAAACGUUCAGCACACAAUGAUUCUGAGCCUUUAGAAGAGGAGUCAGAGGGCUAUUUUGAACCCCCUUCAGAGGCCAUAGAUGACCCCUCCAUGGAUGUUAGCCCAGUGAAGUGUGAGGACGCGUGCCCUGAAAUGAGUUCCGGAAUCUCUGAUGUCACAAGCCAACAACAUGUAACGUUCAUUACGCAAGAUGGAACACCACAGACUGUAGGAAAUACAAUCACAAUGGUAACACAAGAUGGCAGUAUGAUCACCAUCCCACAAACUGAGUCUUUGCUAUCAGGGGAGGCUCAUUCAGUCACCAUGGUUUCCGAGGACGGCACUGAAGGACAGAUGACCAUUAUGAUGCCGGAAUUAGCGUCUUCCAGUAUGCAAGAGGUGCUGUCAUCACACCCUCUUACAGUUCUGGCUACUUCUAACGGCACACAGAUUGCUGUUUAGCUCAAUGAGCAGACUUCAUUGGAAGAGGCUCUAAGAAUAGCAUCAUCUUUACACGGAAGAGAAACAACAGUAUUGGACACUUAACCGCCUACACCAUCAGAUGGCACACAGUAUCAAUUAGACAAACUUGCUUGUGCAUGGGUAUAAUGCUGCACUGGGUUUCUGAGAACUUCUUCAUGUGGUGAAGAAAGGGAGCGCAUCUAUGUUCCCAGGGUCCUAAAUUCCCAAUUUCACAUUAAACCUACUGUGUUCAGUUUGGAAUGCCCAAUUCCCAAUGCGCUCUUAAGUCCUCGUGGUGGCGUAGUGACUCGCCUCAAUCCGGGUGGCGGAGGAUGAAUCUCAGUUGCCUCUGCGUCUGAGACUGUCAAUCCGUGCAUCUUAUCACGUGACUUGUUGAGCACAUUACCGCGAAGACACAGUGCGUGUGGAGGCUUCACGCUAUUCUCCGCGGCAUUCACGCACAACUCACCACGAGCCCCACCAAAAGCGAGACCCACAUUAUAGCAACCACAAGGAGAUUACACCAUGUGACUCUACCCUCCUUAGCAACCGGGCCAAUUUGGUUGCUUAGGAGACCUGGCUGGAGUCACUCAGCAUGCCCUGGAUUUGAACUCGCGACUCCAGGGGUGGUAGACAGCGUCAAUACUUCCUGGGCUACCCAGGCCCCCUAAUUCUUGUAUUUAAUUUUUCGUAGACUGGGGUUCAAAUGUCUUAAAUGCACAUUGAAAAUGAUCUGGGAUUCAAAGUCUAAUUUAUCCUGCCAAAUUUUAUUUUUUUAAAAACAAAGAAAUGUUAUCACAUAAAAUGAAUAAUAAAUAUGUACGAUUUUGCGCUAUUUCUAGGUCACUAAUCAUAUAUGCACAUUUCUGACACUGACCAUGUUAACACCUUUGUACAAAAGGGCAGAUAUCCUUGCUUCCACUGAAGCAAACAAUGAACAUUCUCAAAUCAUGUUGGGAUAACAUGGAUUAUUAUACUAACUUAUGACUGAGUAAUGCUCUCAUGAAAAAUUCCACUGCAUUAUUAUUAACCAAGCUGUGUCAGUGUGGUCAAACAUACAUGAAACAUUAAAUUGGAAAACAUUGAAAGGGAAGCACACAAAUCAAAGGAACGGAUUCAUUUUAUAUUGUUGAAGUUUUAUUUGAAAAUCAAAAGUGUUGCACCAAAAUCUGAGCUGAAGUGGCCGAACUUCGUAUACAGUUGUAUUAGUAUCUUAUCUUUGUUUAAAAUGUGCAUUUGUUUUUAUUCCUUGCAAACUUGGAAUCAGUUAGAUGCUUACAAAAAGUACUGUUUUGCCAUCAUUUUUUCAGCAAAAGUGUUUAUAGUCCUUGUUGCGCUGUUAUGUUAUAGCUGAAUAAUUUUAAUUGAUAAUUUUAUAUAAUUUUUUAUUUAAAAAAAUUAUAAUUGUAAUUCAUUUAUAAAAAUUUUUUAGAAGGAAAACUAUUCGUAAUGAAAAAUGUAAACAUUUUUGACACUUUCUGACACAAUAUAAAAGUUGCUAAAAAAAAAAAAAAGUGAUAU